rnacentral:lncRNA from 1 species
GCCUGGGCUGUGCACUAGCUGAUAAGAAAGACAUCAGCUUUGGGGAGCAGUGUAUUCUCUACCCCUCCAAAUCACACUGGCUGGAUUCCUGUUCUGCCUGGUGUUCUGGACACUGAUGAUGACUCUGGGCUUUCCCAGGAAGAAGCUGCCUGUGUCUGAGGGAAACAAGCUUUCUCUGAAAGUUUGAUGAAGAGUGGACGGUUGUGUAGAAAUGUGAUCAGGGAAAGAGUACGAGGUCACCACCAGAGCAUGGCUGCCAAUGAAUGGUGUAGGUCAAAACCUACUCCCAGGAACUGAACCCAGGCCACUGAAGCGGAACCUGCUCAACUUAGCUGCUAGGCCAUGGAAACGGCCCCUUGAAUAUUUUAAGCUGAAGGAAUUUGAGAAACAGCAGGUGCAGGAAAGACUCUCUAACUUCUCUCUCCUCUCUUGAAGCAUAAAUCCCUCAUGUGAGAGGAAUGCUCCCUAUACCCAGCAGAAAGGAGCAUCCUUAUCUCCGAAGACAAAGAGACACCAAGAAGAAUCCUAACAAACAGCCUCCGCAAAGUUACCCCAGUUUAUCACACCCUUUUGUCCUAUCAUAUUUUUCCACAACUUCCCACUUUUCAUCAAAUCUUCUAUUAAAAAAUGCUGAAGUUGAACUCUUUCUUCAGGUCUCCAUUUCCUUAUGAAGGCUGUUGUGUCAUGUAAACUCAUAUUAAAUAAAUUUG